rnacentral:rRNA from 1 species
UAGGGAAUCUUCCGCAAUGGACGAAAGUCUGACGGAGCAACGCCGCGUGAGUGAAGAAGGAUUUCGGUUCGUAAAACUCUGUUGUUAGGGAAGAAAAAAUGUAUAGUAACUAUAUACAAAAGAGACGGUACCUAACCAGAAAGCCACGGCUAACUACGUGCCAGCAGCCGCGGUAAUACGUAGGUGGCAAGCGUUGUCCGGAAUUAUUGGGCGUAAAGCGCGCGCAGGUGGUUUAGAAAGUCUGAUGUGAAAGCCCACGGCUCAACCGUGGAGGGUCAUUGGAAACUAAUAAACUUGAGUGCAGGAGAGAAAAGUGGAAUUCCUAGUGUAGCGGUGAAAUGCGUAGAGAUUAGGAGGAACACCGGUGGCGAAAGCGGCUUUUUGGCCUGCAACUGACACUGAGGCGCGAAAGAGUGGGGAGCAAACAGG